GGUUGACCUCGAAUCAGGUAGGGAUACCCGCUGAAC
rnacentral:rRNA from 1 species